GGCCUCCCAAUGCUUCCCACAUGCUGUGUUCUUUAUACUGACUGCAUAAAAAGAGGAGGUAUGCAAAUACUCCCCAUAUACACCUCAAACCAGGCCCUUUGCCUGGUAUAUAUUGUGAAUGGGGGAACAAAA